AUUAAUGUCUAAAGAUCCUUUGUGUUCUCUUCCCAUGCUUUGAUAUUUUUUGAUACUCAUAUCUAAGAAAAUACAAAAUAAAGUCUGUGUGUAGUCUGCUGCUUCUGCUCUCCCGCAGAGCAGCCCUGGACAUCCACUCAAUCUAGUGUCCGAGAACUUUUUCUUCAGUGAGCGGCCACAAGGAUCUUGAGCAAGCAGAAACCCAACACAUCCACGAGGGGGCGGAGCUAAAGUCGCUACCGGAACCGGAAGUAGCUCUGUCAACCAUUUCACGGCACUUGCCUGGAGGCUCCGGACAGUUAAGCGUCUGUUCGGUGCUGAGUUCCACAUUUGGGUAUGUAUUGCUUUCGGUCUUAUUAAGUGAUAAGUUUUUUCCAAUUUCAGUUAUUUUUCUUUUUACCAAGAGUUACUUAAAAGUGCCUUUUCAAUUUUCAAAAGUUAAACCGUUUAUUAAUUUCAAAUGCAACUUAUUUGUGCCUUAUGUGAUACUCAUUCAUUGGAAUGUGUUCAGACUUCCUUUAAGGCUAAUUUUAGGGUCAGUUUUUUAUUAAUAUUAUAUCUCUAACUCAAUAAUAGUGUGAGUUCUCCAACUGAUAAUGGUCUUAUUCAAAAGUGUAUAUUCUUUCAGUGUGUGUGCCUGCUCUUUUAACCACUGAAAGUGAUUUGUGUGUGUGUAUGCAUAUAUAUGUGUAUAUACAAAAUGUAUGUGUGUGUGCAUAUCUAUAUCUAUAUACGCACACACACAUAAAUUUUCAAAAUUUUUGUAUAUUUAUAUAUUUUACUUGGUGUCACUGGGUUCACAUAGGAGUACUUUUCAGAAUAAAGAUCACAAAAUUAUUCUAGGUAAGUGAGUC
rnacentral:lncRNA from 1 species